UUUGCCUCUACAUGGUCUUAAAGAUAGCAGAAUCUUAGCUCCACCUGAGACACUUGGUGAUGUGCAACUUUUCUCCUGAACUGUGAUUGUGUUUUGUCACAAGCUGCUAGUAUGUCAGAAGCCACCAGAGUUGUUUCGCUGUAAGUUAUUUUUUAAGUUUCAUUCUUCAUCUCAGUGCCAAUAUUGUCACCUUUUGUAGUUUCUGGUGCCACCCAUGAGAAGCCACAAAAUCUGGGCUUACUAGCAUGUUUUUUGUAACUUGUGUUUUCUAUGCCCUUGCUCGGUGAGGGGUUGGUCCGCUACGUGCUUGAGCACCCAUGGGUGAUGUGGUUCGUCAGGCCAACAUUCACUGUGCUGACUGGCCUCUUCUUCAAACAAGGUACUCUGAAAGUCACUUUGUGUAUGUGCGCUAAUGAACGGAUUUGAAUGGUUCGCCUUGUUUCAUCAAUAGCAUAGUCCUUUGUAGUGUUCAUAGGAUGCAUUGUGAUUGAUUAGUAAAGUGGCAAAACCAUUACACUGAAAGUUUAGGCUGUGAAAUGUAUUUCACAACAAAUGCACUGUGGAAUUGAUUGGUUCAUCUUUAUUUAUCCCCUCUAACAAUUACAUGGAGUUGAUUUGAUCAGAGAACUUUGUAGCGUUCACUGGAUGCACUCUGUUCGACUGAAUACUUCAAUUUGUGAUCCCCACCCUUCUUCUUGGACACCUGGUAAAUUAAUAUCUGGCAACAAAUGCACUCUCACAGGACUCCGGUAUGGAAAAUUGGAAGCUGGCAUCUUCAUGUUUGUGAUCCCCAUCCUUCUUCUUGGACACGUGUAUGGUUUGAUGACGAUGGGGCAAAACUGGGCCCUUUAGGACUGUGGAUGCCUGGCACCUUUCACCGUGUUCGAUGCUAGAAAAUUGCAGCAACCCAUUAAGUGUCAUGUCCAUCCAACGCCCUCCUGAUGCUGACCAGAGCCUCAUUUCCCAACUAGUGUGGCACGAGUUCAUGGUGUUCAGCGACGUGCCUGUUUCUGUGAUAUGGCCACUUCCAAGGGAAAGGCUUGACUUGCAUCAAUUGUUUACGCCUGUACUUUUGAAGGUCGAGCGCCACAGCAUUAGGAUCUGACCAAUGCCAUGGCCUUCUUUCAGUUACAGUUAAGACGGUUUCCCAUAUGAGUUACCAAGAUGCUGGAGCGAGACAAGGUU